UUCAGAAAAAUCUAAAUAUAUAGAACGAAAAGGUGAGACUGACUGAUCUAGCAACGCAUAGCUUAAACUACUGGACGGAUUGGACUGAAAUUUAGCAUGUAGAUAGCUAUUAUUAGGUAUAAAUAAAGAGAAAAAUCC